rnacentral:rRNA from 1 species
ACGGAGGGUGCAAGCGUUGUUCGGAAUCACUGGGCGUAAGGGGCGCGCAGGCGGUUUGGUAAGUCAGAUGUGAAAGCCCACGGCUUAACCGUGGAAGUGCAUUUGAUACUGCCAGACUUGAGUACCAGAGGGGAAAGUGGAAUUCCCGGUGUAGAGGUGAAAUUCGUAGAUAUCGGGAGGAAUACCGGUGGCGAAGGCGACUUUCUGGCUGAGUACUGACGCUGAGGCGCGAAAGCGUGGGGAGCAAACAG